rnacentral:miRNA from 1 species
GUGCAGGACUCCGCGGCUCUCGCAGUGUUUCAGAGCCGCGAUCAGCUGCACCAGCACUUUCUUGGCCAGAC